rnacentral:rRNA from 1 species
UACAGAGGUCUCGAGCGUUAGGCGGAAUCACUGGGCUUAAAGCGUGUGUAGGCGGGUCGUUAAGUGCCUUGUGAAAUCCCAUGGCUCAACCAUGGAACUGCUGGGCAUACUGGCGAUCUUGUGCCACCUAGGGGCGAGCGGAACAGAUGGUGGAGCGGUGAAAUGCGUAGAUAUCUGGAGGAAUACCGGUGGCGAAGGCGGCAUCCUGGACCGGCAUUGACGCUGAGGAGCGAAAGCUAGGGGAGCAAACGGG